GACGAACGCUGGCGGCGUGCUUAACACAUGCAAGUCGAACGGAAAGGCCCUGCUUUUGUGGGGUGCUCGAGUGGCGAACGGGUGAGUAACACGUGAGUAACCUGCCCUUGACUUUGGGAUAACUUCAGGAAACUGGGGCUAAUACCGGAUAGGAGCUCCUGCUGCAUGGUGGGGGUUGGACAGUUUCGGCGGUUGGGGAUGGACUCGCGGCUUAUCAGCUUGUUGGUGGGGUAGUGGCUUACCAAGGCUUUGACGGGUAGCCGGCCUGAGAGGGUGACCGGCCACAUUGGGACUGCGAUACGGCCCAGACUCCUACGGGAGGCAGCAGUGGGGAAUAUUGCACAAUGGGCGGAAGCCUGAUGCAGCAACGCCGCGUGCGGGAUGACGGCCUUCGGGUUGUAAACCGCUUUCGCCUGUGACGAAGCGUGAGUGACGGUAAUGGGUAAAGAAGCACCGGCUAACUACGUG
rnacentral:rRNA from 1 species